rnacentral:rRNA from 1 species
ACACGCAUGACACACUGCAUAUCAAUAAGCGGAGGAAAAGAAACUAACUAGGAUUCCCUUAGUAACGGCGAGUGAAGCGGGAAGAGCUCAAAUUUGAAAUCUUCAAGGUUCUACCUUGACGAAUUGUAGUUUAAAGAAGUGUUUUCUGUUGGAGUUUUGGUAAAAGUUCUUUGGAAUAGGACAUCAUAGAGGGUGAGAAUCCCGUAUUUGACCAUUAUUUCCAACUUUGUGAUACACUUUCAAAGAGUCGGAUUGUUUGGGAAUGCAGUCCAAAAUGGGUGGUAAGUUUCAUCUAAAGCUAAAUAUUGGCGAGAGACCGAUAGCGAACAAGUACCGUGAGGGAAAGAUGAAAAGAACUUUGAAAAGAGAGUUAAACAGUACGUGAAAUUGUCAAAAGGGAAGCGUUUGACACCAGUGUUGUUUUCUCGAAAAUCAAUUAAAAAUGAUGGGAUGUUGUGUUGUAUUGACUUUAUCAGCUUUCUGCACUUUUUUCUUAUCUUUUUUAAUGCACUUUUCGUUUAACAAGUCAACAUCAAUUUCUUUUGUUGUAAAAGAGUCAUUGGAAGGUGGCUUUUCUUUCGGAGAAAGUGUUUAUAGCCUUUGGCUUCUGCAAUCGGAGAGAUUGAGGUCUGCAGCGUAGAUCCUUCGGGGUUAGAUACAUUUGUGCUAAGCUAUAGUUCUUUAUAGUCAACUUGUUGACUAUAAUCAAUCCUGUAACUUACUCGCUUAUGCUAUUUUACCUACGCUUAGGAUGUUGACUGAUAUGUAGUCGUA